rnacentral:rRNA from 1 species
AUUGAACGCUGGCGGCAUGCCUUACACAUGCAAGUCGAACGGCAGCACGGGAGCAAUCCUGGUGGCGAGUGGCGAACGGGUGAGUAAUGUAUCGGAACGUGCCCAGUCGUGGGGGAUAACGUAGCGAAAGCUACGCUAAUACCGCAUACGAUCUAUGGAUGAAAGCGGGGGAUCGCAAGACCUCGCGCGAUUGGAGCGGCCGAUAUCAGAUUAGGUAGUUGGUGGGGUAAAGGCUCACCAAGCCGACGAUCUGUAGCUGGUCUGAGAGGACGCCCAGCCACAUGGGGACUGAGACACGGCCCAGCCUCAUACGGGAGGCAGCAGUGGGGAAUUUUGGACAAUGGGCGAAAGCCUGAUCCAGCGAUGCCGCGUGCAGGAUGAAGGCCUUCGGGUUGUAAACUGCUUUUGUACGGAACGAAACGGCGAACUCUAAUACAGUUUGCUAAUGACGGUACCGUAAGAAUAAGCACCGGCUAACUACGUGCCAGCCGCCGCCGUAA